UGGGGGAUAUUGUACAAUGGGCGAAAGCCUGAUGAAGCGACGCCGCGUGGGGGAUGAAGGCCUUCGGGUUGUAAACUUCUUUUGCUCUGAACAAGGCAUGCCUUUGGGGUGUGUUGAGUGUAGGGGGUGAUUAGCGCCGGCUAACUACGUGCCAGCAGCCGCGGUAAUACGUAGGGCGCGAGCGUUGUCCGGAAUUAUUGGGCGUAAAGGGCUUGUAGGUGGCUGGUUGCGUCUGUCGUGAAAGCUCAUGGCUUAACUGUGGGUUUGCGGUGGGUACGGGCUGGCUUGAGUGCAGUAGGGGAGGCUGGAAUUCCUGGUGUAGCGGUGGAAUGCGCAGAUAUCAGGAGGAAUACCGGUGGCGAAGGCGGGUCUCUGGGCUGUUACUGACGCUGAGGAGCGAAAGCGUGGGGAGCGAACAGG
rnacentral:rRNA from 1 species